rnacentral:misc_RNA from 1 species
UUGAUAAGCGUGAGGUCGGAGGUUCAAGUCCUCCCAGGCCCACCAGUUCCGCUAUGCUGCACUUUGCUCUGAUAAGCUGAGAAGGCGCUCAGUGAGACUGAUCGUAAUCCCUUUUUGGAUAAUUCCUUAAAAGAAUUUAUUGCCUCAAUCAAUUUUUUCUAAAAGUGUUUAGAACCUCCAUAGAAACUUAAAGCUUUCUAGAGCAAUGAACUCUUCAUGAGAAAUUUGGACCCUUCGUGAGAAAGUAUUGUCUCUCCUUUUCAAUAAGGGACAAAACAGGGAAAAGAGCAGGCCAAUAUUGUGUCUCUGUUUGUUUUAAAAAGCCUCUGUUUUUUAGAAUAUAGCGUUUUUAAAAGAGCAAGAUGUGAGGGAGUUUUAGCUGUUUUAGGGGCCGUAGCUCAGCUGGGAGAGCACCUGGUUUG